AGUGAACGCUGGCGGUAGGCCUAACACAUGCAAGUCGAACGGCAGCACAGUAAGAGCUUGCUCUUACGGGUUGCGAGUGGCGGACGGGUGAGGAAUACAUCGGAAUCUACUUUUUCGUGGGGGAUAACGUAGGGAAACUUACUCUAAUACCGCAUACGACCUACGGGUGAAAGCAGGGGAUCUUCGGGCCUUGCGCGAUUGAAUGCGCCGAUGUCGGAUUAGCUAGUUGGCGGGGUAAAGGCCCACCAAGUCGCCGAUUCGUAGCUGGUCUGAGAGGAUGAUCAGCCACACUGGAACUGGGACACGGUCAAGACGACUACGGGAGGCAGCAGUGGGGAAUAUUGGACAAUGGGCGCAAGCCUGACACAGCCAUACCGCGUGGGUGAAGAAGGCCUUCGGGUUGUAAAGCCCUUUUGUUGGGAAAGAAAAGCAGCAGGUUAAUACCCCGCUGUUCUGACGGUACCCAAAGAAUAAGCACCGGCUAACUUCGUG
rnacentral:rRNA from 1 species